rnacentral:rRNA from 1 species
AACGAACGCUGGCGGCAUGCCUAACACAUGCAAGUCGAACGAGACCUUCGGGUCUAGUUGCGCACGGGUGCGUAACGCGUGGGAACCUGCCCUUAGGUUCGGAAUAACUCCCCGAAAGGGGUGCUAAUACCGGAUAAUGUCUUCGGCCCAAAGAUUUAUCGCCUUUGGAUGGGCCCGCGUUGGAUUAGCUAGUUGGUAGGGUAAAAGCCUACCAAGGCGACGAUCCCUAGCUGGUCUGAGAGGAUGAUCCGCCACACUGGGACUGGGACACGGCCCAGACUCUUACGGGAGGCAGCAGGUGGGAAUAUUGGACAAUGGGCGAGAGCCUGAUCCAGCAAUGCCGCGUGAGUGAUGAAGGCCUUAGGGUUGUAAAGCUCUUUUAACCGGGAUGAUAAUGACAGUACCGGGAGAAUAAGCUCCGGCUAACUCCGUG